rnacentral:misc_RNA from 1 species
GAAAUGCGAUAAGUAAUGUGAAUUGCAGAAUUCCGUGAAUCAUCGAGUCUUUGAACGCACAUUGCGCCCCCUGGCAUUCCGGGGGGCACGCCUGUCCGAGCGUCAUUGCGAACCCCUCAAGCGCGGCUUGUGUGAUGGGUGGGUCCGCGGCGACCCCUGCGGGGGGGCUGUAGGACGCGCCCGAAAGUCAGCGGCGGCGCCCAACGUGGACCGGCCGAGCGCAUGGGGCUCUGUCACGCGCUCGUGCCCACGAUGGUGACGCCCGCCACACUGGAAUACCAUCAAGUUGACCUCGGAUCAGGUGGGGAUACCCGCUGAACUUAA